rnacentral:rRNA from 1 species
GCUCAACCGAAGAAGUGCAUCGGAAACUGGGAAACUUGAGUGCAGAAGAGGACAGUGGAACUCCAUGUGUAGCGGUGAAAUGCGUAGAUAUAUGGAAGAACACCAGUGGCGAAGGCGGCUGUCUGGUCUGUAACUGACGCUGAGGCUCGGAAGAAUGGGUAGCAAACAGGAUUAGAUACCCUGGUAGUCCAUACCGUAAACGAUGAAUGCUAAGUGUUGGAGGGUUUCCGCCCUUCAGUGCUGCAGCUAACGCAUUAAGCAUUCCGCCUGGGGAGUACGGCCGCAAGGCUGAAACUCAAAGGAAUUGACGGGGGCCCGCACAAGCGGUGGAGCAUGGGGUUUAAUUCGAAGCUACGCGAAGAACCUUACCAGGUCUUGGCAUACUAUGCAAAUCUAAGAGAUUAGACGUUCCCUUCGGGGACAUGGAUACAGGUGGUGCAUGGUUGUCGUCAGCUCGUGUCGUGAGAUGUUGGGUUAAGUCCCGCAACGAGCGCAACCCUUAUUAUCAGUUGCCAGCAUUAAGUUGGGCACUCUGGUGAGACUGCCGGUGACAAACCGGAGGAAGGUGGGGAUGACGUCAAAUCAUCAUGCCCCUUAUGACCUGGGCUACACACGUGCUACAAUGGAUGGUACAACG